GACGAACGCUGGCGGCGUGCUUAACACAUGCAAGUCGAGCGGUGCUGCGAACGGGUGAGUAACGCGUGAGUAACUGCACCCCUCUCUGGCAUAGCAGUUGGAAACGGAUGCUGAUACCGGAUAUUGGGGGAUGACUCGCGUCCUAUUCGCUUGUUGGUGGGGUAGUGGCCUACCAAGGCGACGACGGGUAGCCGGCCUGCGAGGGCGCACGGCCACAUUGGGCUGAGAUACGGCCCGAACUCCUACGGGAGGCAGCAGUGGGGAAUAUUGCACAAUGGGGGAAACCCUGAUGCAGCAACGCCGCGUGCGGGAUGACGGCCUUCGGGUUGUAAACCGCUUUCGGCCAUGACGCGGUAGUGGCAUAAGAAGCACCGGCUAACUACGUGCCAGCAGCCGCGGUAAUUC
rnacentral:rRNA from 1 species